ensembl:lncRNA
CUCCUUCCCCGUGCAGUCCCACAACAGGGAGGACUGGAGCACAAACUCAGGUCUCCCUCGGCCCUCUUCUCCCUCCCACUGUGGGCCAAACGCGGUGCAGAAGGCCUGAGGAGCCCAAGCACUGAUAUCCAGACUCCAGAGGAUACCACUGGAAUGCCAUACAUCACUUAAACCCAUGACACAGCUGCAUGGGCCCGCGAGGCACCUGCCCCUUAGGAGCCUUCCAAGACAGUAGCUGGAACCUCAGAGGUGGAACUCCUCCAGAAAGCCCUCUUCUUCAAAACGCUGCCUGUAGCACUGGAGUAUGGCACCCUGAAGUCAUGCAAACAACUCACAUCAUCCUUAUCAAGAGAGAGGGUGCCAUCUGCUGAGCUAACAGAAACCAGCUGGUUGCUGGGUUCUACAAAGGGAAGCUUACAGCAAACUGAAAGCAUACUCAUUCUGGUGGUGCCCAAAGCACAGACUCCAUCACCACUGCAAAGAACAAGACCUGAGGAUGUUACAGCCAACACACUGAGGUUUGUAAGAGCAGAAUUAUUUCUUCCCUCGAGAUUUCUGCAAAGGAACAUGAGAGCAGAGAACAUUUUAACAAGGAGAUAUUCAACAGGUAGCUGAUCGUGAAACAUAAUGUUUGACAGUACAGGAAGUCUCUUUGUACUUGAAUUAUUUUGAAUUGCUAUUGCUCAAUCUUUUUGUAAAUGGUUAAUUGAGAAGAUUUUUUUCAUAUGAAAACAUUUCCCCUCCUUCUUUAUUAUUAUGAACUUUGUACAAAUCAGGCAAAGAUGGACCUUGAAAGAUAAUCUCUCUGAAAGUGCUAGACACAAAAUCCUAGCUGUAUAUGUUAAGAGACUCCAUUCAAGUAAUAUUAAAUAAAUAGAUACCCUGACCU